rnacentral:lncRNA from 1 species
AAGGGUUCUGGAAAAACAUUAGAACAUGCAACAAAUAUAUCCGUAAGAACAUAAAAUAAGUAAGAAAAGGGGUUAUGGAAAAACAUCAGAACAAACAGCAAAUAUAUCCAGAAGAACAUCGGAUAAGAAGACACAAAUUGAACCUGGAUGGACAAAAAUCUAUUUUUUUGUAGGUGCCGACGAGGUUGGACUUUGACCACAGGGUAUGAUGUUGAUAAUAACACGACUUCG